GGCCGCUUAGCUCAGUUGGUUAGAGCGUUCGGUUUACAUCCGAAAAGUCGGGGGUUCGAGUCCCUCAGCGGCCACCA
rnacentral:tRNA from 1 species